AUGGAGCCGACCUUGAAAUACCACCCUUUAAUGUUUGAUGUUCUAACGUUGACCCGUAAUCCGGGUUGCGGACAGUGUCUGGUGGGUAGUUUGACUGGGGCGGUCUCCUCCUAAAGAGUAACGGAGGAGCACGAAGGUUGGCUAAUCCUGGUCGGACAUCAGGAGGUUAGUGCAAUGGCAUAAGCCAGCUUGACUGCGAGCGUGACGGCGCGAGCAGGUGCGAAAGCAGGUCAUAGUGAUCCGGUGGUUCUGAAUGGAAGGGCCAUCGCUCAACGGAUAAAAGGUACUCCGGGGAUAACAGGCUGAUACCGCCCAAGAGUUCAUAUCGACGGCGGUGUUUGGCACCUCGAUGUCGGCUCAUCACAUCCUGGGGCUGAAGUAGGUCCCAAGGGUAUGGCUGUUCGCCAUUUAAAGUGGUACGCGAGCUGGGUUUAGAACGUCGUGAGACAGUUCGGUCCCUAUCUGCCGUGGGCGCUGGAGAACUGAGGGGG
rnacentral:rRNA from 1 species